ACAAACGCGCGGAUGAAAGAAAGUACCCCCGCCCCGCCUUGCCAGAGAAGCGGCGUCACCGGCUGCAAGCGCCGCCCUGGGCAGCGGGGGGAAGUUCCUUUCGGAGCGGCGGCGCUGAACGGCUACAUCGCAAAGCCAACUAGGCGCCGACGGCAGGCCCCGUUACAGGCCGCAAAGAGGGCAGGCUGUCCCACGCCGUGGGGCGCCCUGCUGAAUUUGGGUGGUACCGCGAAGAAGUCACUUCGCCCCUUUU
rnacentral:ncRNA from 1 species